rnacentral:rRNA from 1 species
CGGUUAAACUGGGGGGCCUAGGUAUAUUUUUAUGGUAAAAAGGUGGUUAGAUAUGUUUAUUAAUUAGUGGUUAUAUAAGUUGCUAUAUAAAAGUUAAAUUUUAAUAUAGACGGAUUAAUCAAAAAUGGCCAUAUUUGUUGAAUCCACGAUAGCUUUGAGGGAAACUAGGAUCUGAUACCCUAUUAUUCUUAGCUGUAAAUAAAUUUUAUAUUUACCAGAGUACUAUGAAUAUUAAUAUUUAAAACUCAAAGGGCUUGGCGGUGUUUUAGACCACUUAGGGGAACCUGUUCCGUAAUCGAUAAUCCGCGGUACACCUUACCUUUUAUUGAGAUCAGCCUGUACACCGUUGUCAUCAGGUAACUUUUUAGAGAACUUAAGUUAGCCGUAGAAUUUGCAAUUAAUUUGUAUGUCAAAUCAAGGUGCAGCUAAUGAAAAGGGGAGGAUGGGUUACAAUUAAAAUUUAUAAGAUGGAUCAGGCAAUGAAAUUUGUUUGUAAAGGAGGACUUAAAAGUAAGAUUAUAUAUAUGAAUAAUCUGAAUCAGGCUCUGAAAUGUGUACAAACCGCCC